AAUACAUUAUUUUAUUUUCAACAUCUAUAAAUGGUGCUUUUAGAAGUAAACUUUGCAAAUCGAGUAUUCAUUACUAUGACCUCAGCUGUAUUCAACGCCGUGUGUUUCGUCCAUUUGGUACAAUUAUACGUAAAUCGUAAAUUAAACAUGGCCAAUGCCGAAUGUUUUUGACCGCUCGAUUAGGAUGGUAAUUUAAUAACAACCAUUUUUUAUAAAAUUCUAAAAUAACAUACCUAAAACAGUACACUUAUGCCUUGUGAAAAACUUGGUCAUAAAGUACUGUAUCACAAAGUUCCGCGUCCUUUCAAAGUUACGGGUGGUUGAAAGCACCAAAACCGGAACCCUUGUUCGAUGUUACGGACACAAAAUUUGAAUUUAGUGUUUGUAAAUUAUUUACUAUAUAUGGCUAAACAAAGAAAUAAACAAUAUGAAUUUUACCGUAACUCCCUUAUUGUAGUCUACUAGUUAAUUUGUAGUUUACUUUCAAAUUUUGGUGUCUACAAUUUUGGAUCCGACAGUACAGUUAAUGGCGGUACAGUAGUCUGUCAAGGCUGCUUUCCGUAUAAGAGAAUAACUAGAUCGUACCAGGAUGACCUUGAAAGCCCAUGGCCUCAGCGAAAAAUGAUCACAUGGUCUCGAGUACUUGAUACCUUCUUAACCUUUCUACUAUUGUAUCGUGCCAAUUAAAUAUGUUUCUUUGAAUUAAACUUCAUUAUUUUUUAAGUAUGUAAUUAGCAAACCAAUGAGCUGGAAUAUAGCUUUGGUUUAACAUAAUAAUUGUAAUGAUGCUAUUAAUAAGAUGUUCCGAUAAUGAAUCACGUACAGUCAUCAUCAUCGUUGUGUUGUUUAUUACCUCUGACCCGUCAACACUUUCUUGGGCAAGUCAAGGUCGUCAAGACGUGAAUAAUCCCAACUUCCCCAUAGUUAAAUUAAUUGGCCAGCAAUUUUGUAUUCAAACCAUUCAGCAAUUGUGGUUUCCUUUAAGACGCUUUUAAUUAAGGCUAAUUACUUGAGUGACUUAAGAUUAUUAUUUUAUACUUUGAUCAGCAGGCUAAUAGGUUUACUUCACGUCUAUGUCUGCUCGUGUCAAUGUAAUGACUCUCUCUAGCAGUUCAACACCUUCUAAACAAGAAUAAUUUUCAUUUGUUGUUGCAUUUGCAGAGUAGGAGCAGAUUUUCUAAAUCUAUUAUAAUUUGUACGUAAAAUUAAUGAAUUAAAAAAUACCGAAAUGAAAACGUCUCUUUUACUUUAGGUGUGUUAGUCAUCGGAAAAUAUAUAACUGAAGAAAUUACCGUGCUAGUUUUUUCUUUAUUGUUUAAUGCUGACUGUUCUAGAAUUGCUUUUUAUUGACUCAUCUCUCCAGCAACUCCUUCUUCCCCAAACACAAAGUUGUGAUAAACUGUUUAAAAAAUGUUUGGAUUCAUUAAUCUAUUCACCCACCUUGUUAAUAUGCAAUGGCCAUAACAUAGAGUAAAAUUUAUCUCCAGCACUCUGACUUCCAGAAUCAGAGCCAUAUUUUUGACAUACAGUUUGCCAUUGCAUUUACUGUAAGUGGCUAUUUACAAAAUUCACGCUUUAAACAAACAAAAAUGUUACAGCAUAAAUAGCUGUUAAAUUUAAAAUGUUAACUUUUUUGGUAUAUGUACGCGUAUAUCCUUGUGGUUUUGGAUUCAGUCAAGUGAUUCUCAGGCAGAAGGAAAUAAUUUGAGAAAUGAAAAACUAAAAACCUUUGCACGAUACACCCGUUAAUAAGAUAGGCUAAACACUCGUUUAGAAUUUGAGGCAGGAAAUCUCUUUUUUUUAUUUGUUUUAAAAUUUUUAUAUUUUCCAAGGUAUGGACAAUUUUAAUCUCUUAUGCAGAAAAUUUGUAUAUAUUACUCAUUUACAGUGAAAGGAUGGAGUAUUAUUCCACAGGAUGAUACGAUGAUACCCAACUCACGUUUUAGAGGUCAAAGGUGAACUAAUUAGCUGUAGAAAUCAUAACCUACACAACCGGUUUGUAAGUCAAGUUCAUGUUUGAAGAUUGCUUUGAGUUACGAAUUGGUAUGCGACUGUUAACAUGACUAUUUGAAACCAUAAUUUAGAUCCUGCUUAAAAUUUAAUCUAAGAAUAUUUCUCACAUAGUUGCAUGUUAUGCAAAAUAUUAAAGUUGCGAUAAUAACAUUUGUUUGUCGUUAAGAAGAUCCUCUAGUACAAAAAAUAAAAGACGUGUUUUUAUACUUUAGUGAAGAUUGCAAAUUAUUGAAUUGAUAAUCACUAAAUAAUUAAUGCAUUGUUUUAGAACAUCCUGUGGAGAGUUUAAGACAGGGAAUCCCAGUAAAUUAUCCUAACAACCGUGAAGUAAUUAUAUGUCCGGUAUUUAGUGAGGACUGUCGCAAGGUUCUACCUUAGAUCCGUUUUUGUUACCAUGAGGGCUCUACUGUUUUGUGCGGGACUGCUAUUAUUCGUUGUGGCUGCUGUCGUUGAGGGGCAUGGAUAUAAGAAAAUGAAAGGUUAUGGAGGAGGUUAUGGUGGAGGUUAUGGUGGAUAUGGAGGAUACGGACACGGAGGAUAUGGUGGCCAUAAAGGAUACGGAGGUGGUGGAGGUUGUUGCGGUGGAUAUGGAGGCCAUGGCGGUGCAUAUGUAUCUACCUACAAAGUAAUUCCAGUUUAUGUACAGUACGGAGGAGGUUAUGGCUACGGACAUAAAAGUCACAAGCACGGAUAGUAGGUCUUGAGACAGCAUGAAGAAAGAAUAUCUUCUCCAAUAUCCAUAUCGUAGAAGAUCCUUAGCCAUGUUGAAGAUGUUAGCCACCACAUGAUUCAAAAGUGCAAACUAAUUAUGUCUUUUUAACUGUUUUAUAUUCAUUAAUAAAGUGUUACAUUAUUA
rnacentral:misc_RNA from 1 species